ensembl:lncRNA
AAACUGCACACUUUUGUCUCUUUUUUUUCACAGCACCAAAUUUCUGCCAACUUCAGCGUUCAUUGUCAGCAAAGAUAGAGGAGACCGACCCGAGGUUCCCAAGGCCAGAGGAAUUCGGCCCGAAGAGAACUGCUGGAAUGUUCCAUUCCUUCCCCAAACAUCUCCCCGCCGUUCUGCCAUCUGCUGGAUCAAGGCUCGGUUGCUUUAAUAAACACACGGACGGCACGUUCUGAUGCCAGUACGGCGACUUAUUUACCGAUCCACACACACAAGCUGCUGCGAUGUUUACACAUGUCCGUUAAGACGGGGA